rnacentral:rRNA from 1 species
AUACGGAGGAUCCGAGCGUUAUCCGGAUUUAUUGGGUUUUAAGGGAGCGUAGGUGGGAUAUUAAGUCAGCUGUGAAAGUUUGGGGCUCAACCUUAAAAUUGCAGUUGAUACUGGUUUCCUUGAGUACGGUAUAGGUGGGCGGAAUUCGUGGUGUAGCGGUGAAAUGCUUAGAUAUCACGAAGAACUCCGAUCGCGAAGGCAGCUCACCGGGCCGGAACUGACACUGAUGCUCGAAAGUGCGGGUAUCAAACAGGAUUAGAUACCCUGGUAGUCCGCACAGUAAACGAUGAAUACUCGCUGUUUGCGAUACACUGUAAGCGGCCAAGCGAAAGCGUUAAGUAUUCCACCUGGGGAGUACGCCGGCAACGGUGAAACUCAAAGGAAUUGACGGGG